rnacentral:rRNA from 1 species
GAUAUGAUCCAGAGUACCACGGGACACGUGAAACCCUGUGGGAAGCAGGAGGGACCACCCUCCAAGGCUAAAUACUACCUAGUGACCGAUAGCGUAUAGUACCGUGAGGGAAAGGUGAAAAGAACCCCGGGAGGGGAGUGAAAUAGAACCUGAAACCCUGCACUUACAAGCUGUGGAAGCACAUUUCUUGUGUGACCGCGUACUUUUUGUAGAACGGGCCAACGAGUUACGUUAAGUAGCAAGGUUAAGCACUUAAGGUGCGGAGCCGUAGCGAAAGCGAGUUUUAACUGAGCGUUCAGUUACUUGACGUAGACCCGAAACCGGGCGACCUACCCAUGAGCAGGAUGAAGCGAAAGUAAAAUUUCGUGGAGGUCCGAACCCACGAGCGUUGAAAAGCUCGGGGAUGACUUGUGGGUAGCGGUGAAAUUCCAAUCGAGCCCGGAGAUAGCUGGUUCUCCCCGAAAUAGCUUUAGGGCUAGCCUCAAGGUGAGAGAUACGGAGGUAGAGCACUGAAUGUCCUAGGGGGUAUUGCACCUACCGAAGACUAUCAAACUCCGAAUGCCGUCAUCUUAUACUUGGGAGUCAGACUGUGGGUGAUAAGAUUCAUAGUCGAAAGGGCAACAGCCCAGAUCGUCAGCUAAGGUCCCUAAAUGUAAGUUAAGUGGUAAAGGAUGUGGGAUUGCACAGACAACCAGGAUGUUGGCUUAGAAGCAGCCACUCAUUCAAAGAGUGCGUAAUAGCUCACUGGUCGAGUGAUCCUGCGCCGAAGAUUUCCGGGGCUAAAACUUACUACCGAAGCUACGGCAUCAGUAAUGAUGGGUAGGGGAGCUUCCCAUACGGGUUGAAGCAUGACCGUAAGGACAUGUGGACAGUAUGGGAGUGAGAAUGUUGGCAUGAGUAGCGAGAUGUGGGUGAGAAUCCCACAGGCCGUAAACCCAAGGUUUCCAGGGGAAGGUUCGUCCGCCCUGGGUUAGUCGGGACCUAAGCUGAGGCCGAAAGGCGUAGGUGAUGGACAACAGGUUGAUAUUCCUGUACUACCGAUAACCGUUUGAGAGAAGGGAUGACACAGUAGGAUAAGCUAAGCACACUGUUGGUUAUGUGUGCCCAAGCAUUGAGGCAGUCAAAGUAGGCAAAUCCGCUUUGAUAAUGCUGGGAUGUGAUGGGGAGCGAAAUUUAGUAGCGAAGUAGCUGAUUUCACACUGUCAAGAAAAGUCUCUAUCGAGGUUAAAGGUACCCGUACCGCAAACCGACACAGGUGGGUGAGGAGAGUAUCCUAAGGCCAGCGAGAGAACUGUUGUUAAGGAACUCGGCAAAAUGACCCCGUAACUUAGGGAUAAGGGGUGCCACCAUCAGGUGGCCGCAGAGAAUAGGCCCAAGCGACUGUUUACCAAAAACAUAGGUUUCUGCUAAGUCGCAAGACGAUGUAUAGGAGCUGACGCCUGCCCGGUGCUGGAAGGUUAAGGGGAUCUGUUAGAGCAAUCGAAGCAGUGAACUUAAGCCCCAGUAAACGGCGGCCGUAACUAUAACGGUCCUAAGGUAGCGAAAUUCCUUGUCGGGUAAGUUCCGACCCGCACGAAAGGCGUAACGAUUUGGGCACUGUCUCAACAACAGACUCGGUGAAAUUGUAAUUCCGGUGAAGAUGCCGGAUACCUGCGACAGGACGGAAAGACCCCAUGGAGCUUUACUGUAGCUUGACAUUGGGUCUUGGUACUACAUGUACAGGAUAGGUGGGAGGCUUUGAAACCAGGACGCCAGUUUUGGCGGAGCCAUCCUUGGGAUACCACCCUUGUA